CGAAUGCUGACAUAAGUAACGAUAAAGCGGGUGAAAAGCCCGCUCGCCGGAAGACCAAGGGUUCCUGUCCAACGUUAAUCGGGGCAGGGUGAGUCGACCCCUAAGGCGAGGCCGAAAGGCGUAGUCGAUGGGAAACAGGUUAAUAUUCCUGUACUUGGUGUUACUGCGAAGGGGGGACGGAGAAGGCUAUGUUGGCCGGGCGACGGUUGUCCCGGUUUAAGCGUGUAGGCUGGUUUUCCAGGCAAAUCCGGAAAAUCAAGGCUGAGGCGUGAUGACGAGGCACUACGGUGCUGAAGCAACAAAUGCCCUGCUUCCAGGAAAAGCCUCUAAGCAUCAGGUAACAUCAAAUCGUACCCCAAACCGACACAGGUGGUCAGGUAGAGAAUACCAAGGCGCUUGAGAGAACUCGGGUGAAGGAACUAGGCAAAAUGGUGCCGUAACUUCGGGAGAAGGCA
rnacentral:rRNA from 1 species